UACGUAGGGUGCGAGCGUUGUCCGGAAUUAUUGGGCGUAAAGAGCUUGUAGGCGGUUUGUCGCGUCUGCUGUGAAAAUCCGGGGCUCAACCCCGGACUUGCAGUGGGUACGGGCAGGCUAGAGUGUGGUAGGGGAGACUGGAAUUCCUGGUGUAGCGGUGGAAUGCGCAGAUAUCGGUAGGAACACCAGUGGCGAAGGCGGUCUCCUGGAGCCUGUUUGACGCUGAGGCGCGAAAGCUGGGGGAGCAAACAGG
rnacentral:rRNA from 1 species